rnacentral:lncRNA from 1 species
GCUCUUUUGAGUUGUUUGGAGGAUUCAUGGCUACAUAUAACCUGGUAGUGCAUGUACUGUGGGGCUCAUCCAAAUGGGAGAGGCCCUUCGGGGGCCUGCAUCAGAGUGAGGAGGCACGUCCCUGGGUAGCUCACCCUGGCCACCGGGAUGUGAAGACCCCUGGGAAGUCAAUAAGGACAAGAAUAUCCUGUUUGUAAGGACUGAUGAAACUGGACUUUGCUGAUGACCAGAGCAUUAGCCAAUCAAUGAAGUUCAAGUCUAGCCUUUUGCCUGACGACAGACUCUCAAGCCGGUCUAUCCUACAAUCCUACCCUUACCUCAUCCGGCACCGAUGAACUCUUCUUUAAUACGACUUACCUCAUCUUCCUCUUUUUCCCAUAAAAACCCUGAGCCUCUCUCCCGUAGUUGGGACACCAUUUGGGUUUCUACCUGAAACUGUACUCCCUGAAUUGCAGUUCUUUGAUCCCAAAUAAAUGAUUUGCCUCUCAAACUGGUUUCUGUUCUUGUAGGUUGACGCUGAAUUGAUCUUUUUUCCAGCUGCAAGCAUACUGUUGAAUUUCUAGCUCCUUUAUGACACAAUUUAAUGUUUGUUAGGAUAAGUUGAUAUCAUUACUCAUUAAAAAAUCCC